GAAGGUGAGCGGUGCGAACCCUACUAGUGGAGCGAUAGAAAAAGACAGCUCUGCUCUACUUUACGCAAAUUGCACGCGGCCACCGCUGCCAUUAUCCAAUCAGCUAAAGAGCAGAUGUUUGCUUGAACAUCUUCCGUUGGUGAAACAUAGUUGCGCGUGUCAUUAGUUCCCGGGCACAAUCCAAAAAGAUGGUGGAGAGCCAAUAAUCGCUGUGUCUGAUUUUCCAACUGUGCUUGAUGUCGCUUUGCUAGAAUACAGAGACAAAAUCACAAAAAGUCAAUGGCAUGGAGAAGGAUUACAAGGAAUGUUGAUGAUGGUGCUGUAGGUGUCCUGGAGAGAAGGCAGUGUGCCCCCGAUGAUGCGUUGGGAAGACCGCUCCGCCCUCUGGAGAGCCCUGCCCUUGACACUACUUUAUCACAUCUAAAGCUCUCAAGAUGGCGUCUGAGAGAGAGAGAUGUUUUAGACGGAGUGAUGAUAUGGCGGCCUGUCAGUGACGUGUGGACAGACAGACAUCUACAACAAACGCUGUUAAGUGUAUCAACUUUGC